UGCGUAGGCGGCCCGGGAAGUUGGGUGUGAAAGCCCUCGGCUCAACCGAGGAAUAGCGCCCAAAACUGCCGGGCUUGAGGAAGAUAGAGGUGCGCGGAACUUAGGGUGGAGCGGUGAAAUGCGUUGAUAUCCUAAGGAACACCAGUAGCGAAAGCGGCGCACUGGGUCUUUUCUGACGCUGAUGCACGAAAGCUAGGGGAGCGAAGAGGAUUAGAUACCCUCGUAGUCCUAGACCGUAAACAAUGAGCACUGGUUUGGAGGGUCCUCCAUAGCCUUCCAGACGUAGCGAAAGUGUUAAGUGCUCCGCCUGGGGAGUAUGGUCGCAAAGGCUAGAA
rnacentral:rRNA from 1 species